UCUGGCGGCAGUAGCGCGGUGGUCCCACCUGACCCCAUGCCGAACUCAGAAGUGAAACGCCGUAGCGCCGGUGGUAGUGUGGGGUCUCCCCAUGCGAGAGUAGGGAACUGCCAGAC
rnacentral:rRNA from 1 species